UUGUUCGGAAUUACUGGGCGUAAAGGGUCCGUAGGCGGUUUGAUAAGUCAGUGGUGAAAUCUUUCGGCUCAACCGGGAAAUGGCCAUUGAUACUGUCAGACUUGAAUUAUUAGGAAGUAACUAGAAUAUGUAGUGUAGCGGUGAAAUGCUUAGAGAUUACAUGGAAUACCAAUUGCGAAGGCAGGUUACUACUAAUGGAUUGACGCUGAUGGACGAAAGCGUGGGUAGCGAACAGG
rnacentral:rRNA from 1 species